rnacentral:tRNA from 1 species
GGAAAACUGCCAGAGCGGUCGAAUGGGCUUGACUCGAAAUCAAGUGUACUACAUUGUGGUACCGGGGGUUCGAAUCCCUCGUUUUCCG